CGGCGGACGGGUGAGUAAUGUAUGGGGAUCUGCCUGAUGGGGGGGAGUAACCACUGGAAACGGUAGCUAAUACCGCAUAAUGUCUACGGACCAAAGCGGGGGGACCUCCGGGCCUCGCGCCAUCAGAUGAACCCAUAUGGGAUUAGCUAGUAGGUAAGGUAACGGCUUACCUAGGCGACGAUCCCUAGCUGGUCUGAGAGGAUGACCAGCCACACUGGAACUGAGACACGGUCCAG
rnacentral:rRNA from 1 species